rnacentral:rRNA from 1 species
UACGUAGGGUGCGAGCGUUAAUCGGAAUUACUGGGCGUAAAGCGUGCGCAGGCGGUUCGCUGUGUCCGAUGUGAAAGCCCCGGGCUUAACCUGGGAAUGGCAUUGGAAACUGGCGGGCUUGAGUGCGGCAGAGGGGGGUGGAAUUCCACGUGUAGCAGUGAAAUGCGUAGAGAUGUGGAGGAACACCGAUGGCGAAGGCAGCCCCCUGGGCCGACACUGACGCUCAGGCACGAAAGCGUGGGGAGCAAACAGG